AUCCCGUGGUGAGGGCCUUUGCAAAGUAACUCUUUAAAUCUUUCUCAUGCCUCAUAUAAGGAUUCAUCACGAUGAAAAGUAGUGAUCUCAUUCUGCAACU
rfam:Gossypium raimondii chromosome 2, whole genome shotgun sequence.